GAUGAAGAACGCAGCGAAAUGCGAUACGUAAUGUGAAUUGCAAAUUCAGUGAAUCAUCGAGUCUUUGAACGCACAUUGCGCCCCCUGGUAUUCCGGGGGGCAUGCCUGUCCGAGCGUCAUUGCUGCCCUCAAGCACGACUUGUGUGUUGGGCCCCGUCCUCCGAUUCCGGGGGACGGGCCCGAAAGGCAGCGGCGGCACCGCGUCCGGUCCUCGAGCGUAUGGGGCUUUGUCACCCGCUCUGUAGGCCCGGCCGGCGCUUGCCGAUCAACCCAAAUUUUUAUCCAGGUUGACCUCGGAUCAGGUAGGGAUACCCGCUGAACUUAAGCAUAUCAUAAGCGGAGGA
rnacentral:misc_RNA from 1 species